rnacentral:rRNA from 1 species
UACAGAGGCCCCAAGCGUUACUGAGAAUCACUGGGUUUAAAGGGUGUGUAGGCGGACAGUUAAGUCAGCGGUGAAAUCUCCGGGCUCAACCCGGAAACUGCCAUUGAUACUAUCUGUCUUGAAUAUUGUUGAGGUGGGCGGAAUAUGUCAUGUAGCGGUGAAAUGCAUAGAUAUGACAUAGAACACCGAUUGCGAAGGCAGCUCACUAAACAAUGAUUGACGCUGAGGCACGAAAGCGUGGGAUCAAACAGG